rnacentral:rRNA from 1 species
GAUGAACGCUGGCGGCGUGCUUAACACAUGCAAGUCGAACGAAGCAUUUAGAACAGAUUACUUCGGUUUGAAGUUCUUUAUGACUGAGUGGCGGACGGGUGAGUAACGCGUGGGUAACCUGCCUUGUACUGGGGGAUAGCAGCUGGAAACGGCUGGUAAUACCGCAUAAGCGCACAAUGUUUCAUGACAUGGUGUGAAAAACUCCGGUGGUAUAAGAUGGACCCGCGUCUGAUUAGCUAGUUGGUGAGAUAACAGCCCACCAAGGCGACGAUCAGUAGCCGACCUGAGAGGGUGACCGGCUACAUUGGGACUAAGACACGGCCCAGACUCCUACGGGAGGCAGCAGUGGGGAAUAUUGCACAAUGGAGGAAACUCUGAUGCAGCGACGCCGCGUGAGUGAAGAAGUAAUUCGUUAUGUAAAGCUCUAUCAGAAGGGAAGAUAGUGACGGUACCUGACUAAGAAGCUCCGGCUAAAUACGUG